GAUGAACGCUGGCGGCGUGCCUAAUACAUGCAAGUCGAGCGAACAGACGAGGAGCUUGCUCCUCUGACGUUAGCGGCGGACGGGUGAGUAACACGUGGAUAACCUACCUAUAAGACUGGGAUAACUUCGGGAAACCGGAGCUAAUACCGGAUAAUAUAUUGAACCGCAUGGUUCAAUAGUGAAAGACGGUUUUGCUGUCACUUAUAGAUGGAUCCGCGCCGCAUUAGCUAGUUGGUAAGGUAACGGCUUACCAAGGCAACGAUGCGUAGCCGACCCGAGAGGGUGAUCGGCCACACUGGAACUGAGACACGGUCCAGACUCCUACGGGAGGCAGCAGUAGGGAAUCUUCCGCAAUGGGCGAAAGCCUGACGGAGCAACGCCGCGUGAGUGAUGAAGGUCUUCGGAUCGUAAAACUCUGUUAUUAGGGAAGAACAAAUGUGUAAGUAACUAUGCACGUCUUGACGGUACCUAACCAGAAAGCCACGGCUAACUACGUG
rnacentral:rRNA from 1 species